rnacentral:rRNA from 1 species
GACGAACGCUGGCGGCGUGCUUAACACAUGCAAGUCGAACGGACAGGCCCUGCGUUUGUGUGGUGCUCGUGUGGCGCACGGGUGAGUAACACGUGAGUAACCUGCCCCUGUAUUUGGGAUAACUUCUGGAGACUGCGGCUAUUACACGAUAGGAGCUCCUGAUGCAUGGGGGUCGUUGGAAAGUUUCGGCGGUUGGGGAUGGACUCGCGGCUUAUCAGCUUGUUGGUGGGGUUGUGACUGACCAGGGUUUUGACGGGUAGCCCGCCUGAGAGGGUGAACGGCCACAUUGGGACUGAGAGACGCCCCAGACUCCAACGGGAGGCAGCAGUGGGGAAUAUUGCACAAUGGGCGGAAGCGUGAGGCAGCAACGCCGCGUGCGUAAUGACGGCCUACGGGUUGAAAACCGCUGUCGCAUGAGACGAAGCGUGAGUGACGGUAAUGGGUAAAGAAGCACCGGCUAACUACGUG